rnacentral:rRNA from 1 species
AUUGAACGCUGGCGGCAUGCCUUACACAUGCAAGUCGAACGGCAGCACGGGAGCAAUCCUGGUGGCGAGUGGCGAACGGGUGAGUAAUACAUCGGAACGUGCCCAGUCGUGGGGGAUAACGUAGCGAAAGCUACGCUAAUACCGCAUACGAUCUGUGGAUGAAAGCGGGGGUCCGUAAGGCCUCGCGCGAUUGGAGCGGCCGAUGUCAGAUUAGGUAGUUGGUGGGGUAAAGGCCCACCAAGCCGACGAUCUGUAGCUGGUCUGAGAGGAUGAUCAGCCACACUGGAACUGAGACACGGUCCAGACUCCUACGGGAGGCAGCAGUGGGGAAUAUUGGACAAUGGGCGCAAGCCUGAUCCAGCCAUGCCGCGUGGGUGAAGAAGGCCUCGGUU